GCCUGGCUGGCUCAGUUGGUAGAGCAUGUGACCCUUGAUCUCAGGGUCAUGAGUUCAAGUCCCAUGUUAGGUA
rnacentral:tRNA from 1 species